rnacentral:rRNA from 1 species
GGACUACACGGGUUUCUAAUCCUGUUCGCUCCCCUAGCUUUCGCACCUGAGCGUCAGACACCAGCCAGGACACUGCCUUCGCCUUUGGUAUUCCUCCGGAUAUCUACGCAUUUCACCACUCCACCCGGAAUUCUAUGUCCCUCUCUGGUCCUCAAGUGGCACAGUUUUCAGAGGCCUUGCUCGGUUAAGCUGAGCACUGUCACUCCAAACCUGCUCCACCGCCUGCGUGCGCUUUACGCCCAAUAAAUCCGGACAACGCUCGCCCCCUACGUAUUACCGCGGCGGCUGGCCAC